GCAUAUCAAUAAGCGGAGGAGAAGAAACUAACAAGGAUUCCCCCAGUAACUGCGAGUGAAGUGGGAGGAGCUCAAUCUUAAAAUCAGCAGCAGUCUAUGUUGCCGAAUUGUAGUUUUGUGAACAGCUUCACGGGCAGGCUGCCUUGGUAUAAGUCCUCUGGAACGAGGUGCCAAAGAAGGUGAUAGCCCUGUGCAUGACCAAGGUGUACACGGCCUGUCGACACGUGCUGCUGAUUCAGCGAGUCGGGUUGUUUGGGAGUACAGCCCAAAGUGGGAGGUAAAUUCCUUCUAAAGCUAAAUAAUGGCGAGAGACCGAUAGCGAACAAGUACCGUGAGGGAAAGAUGAAAAGAACUUUGAAAAGAGAGUUAAAAAGUAUGUGAAAUUGUUGAAAGGGAAACGAUUGAAGUCAGUCGUGCAGUCAUCAAUUCAGCGGUUAACAUUUUAUGUUUCCGUGUAAUUUGGUGUCUGUUGGUUAGCAUCAAUUUUGAUUGUUAUAAAAAGGUUAAGGGGAUGUGGCUCCUUCGGGAGUGUUAUAACCCUUAGCGUAAUGUGACGAUUAGGAUUGAGGUUUGCAACGAAUACCUUUUAGGGCAGUUUCACCUGGCCUCUCGUGGAAUUAUAGAUAGUUAAGAGCAUGCUCUUACUGUCUAUGAUUCUACGAAAAGGUUGGAGUGUAAAACUAAUUCGUUAAGGAUGUUGACGUA
rnacentral:rRNA from 1 species